UUGGAUGACGGAACCGUCGCUGCCGAAAAAGUUGAACAUUUUUCAACUUUCUGACGGUGGCGAACGCUCCAAGUCAACGGACGGAUCCACAAUGCAUUGCGCGACCGUCCCCAUUCAAAGUCAAUGGGCAACGGACAACUGACGGAGGUAGUGGGCACGGGGCGUCAUUGUUCCGACGUUUCAAUGGUCCGAAAUAUUUCCCAUUAAGCCUCGUGCCCACUGCACCGUCAGUCAACGGACGUCAGAAGGCGUGGCUGACGGAUGGGGGAGUAGUCUUUGCAGAUGCAUCCGUCAGCCAAUCAAAUCGGUUCGCCGGGUUCUUCCCGCUUCUUCCUGCUUGUUGCGAGGCAAGAUUACCCGCUUUCCCGCUUUCCAGUAUCGUCAGAGCCCGAGUCGCGUCACAGUGCUUAAAUUUGCAUACGCGAUCUGAUUGGAUGACGGAUCCGUCGCUGCCGAAAAAGUUGAACAUUUUUCAACUUUUUGACGGUGGCGAACGCUCCAAGUCAACUGACGGAUCCACAAUGCAUUGCGCGACCGUCCCCAUUCAAAGUCAAUGGGCAACGGACAACUGACGGAGGUAGUGGGCACGGGGCGUUACGCCUCGUGCCCACUGCACCGUCAGUCAACGGACGUGGGAAGGCGUGGCUGACGGAUGGGGGAGUAGUCUUUGCAGAGGCAACCGUCAGCCAAUCAAAUCGCUUCGCCGGGUUCUUCCCGCUUCUUCCUGCUUGUUGCGAGGCAAGAAGACCCGCUUUCCCCCUUUCCAGUAUCGUCAGAGCCCGAGUCGCGUCACAGUGCUUAAAUUUGCAUACGCGAUCUGAUUGGAUGACGGAACCGUCGCUGCCGAAAAAGUUGAACAUUUUUCAACUUUCUGACGGUGGCGAACGCUCCAAGUCAACGGACGGAUCCACAAUGCAUUGCGCGACCGUCCCCAUUCAAAGUCAAUGGGCAACGGACAACUGACGGAGGUAGUGGGCACGGGGCGUUAGAUCGACAUGCCACUAUGCCGACGGUUCAAUGUUCCGAAAACGGAACCCAUUGGUCCGAAGGUCCGUUUGUCCGACUUUUCAAAAAGGAGGUGCAUUAGGCCGAGGGUUCAAUAUGCCGAAUAGUCCAAGGCGCAAUUCCACAUGUGUGAUUAUGAAACCAAAAAUAAAAGACGAUGUAGGCUAAGUUCCAGCAGUGCACAUCACAAAGCCAGACGGUUGCUGUGGGCUUGAACGGUCACAAGAGGUGAAUUUAUGAAGCGCACGUUAUACAAGGACUAAUACUUUUAUGUAAAGAAGUCAAACGAGAUCUCGCAGAGCAGCUUGUUCCAGGAACUUGGUUGGAGAAAACUGGACAUGAUAUCGAGGGACUUCCACCACAGGAAUAUGGGAACGACUGUGGGAUCUUCAUGAUUAUGUACGUUUGGUACCUUGCCAUGGAGGCACCAUUUGACUUCACUGUUAAAGACAUGCCAGUCCUCAGAAAAUAGUGGUGCACAGUACUGCUUGAGAACUUCCACCUGGAUGGGCACGGCAGAAGGUUCGCACACUUCACGGAGGAGGCCAAACAAAUGGAGGUUGGACUACUUCCACCAGUCUUCAGACUGAAGCGAAAAAGAGAAGUGAAUGACGUUUCCAUUUGACUGUUUGAUUCUUUUGACAGUGAGUUGGAGCUGAUGGCAGCAUGAAGAACCUAUAUCUUUAAGAUUCUGUAGAUUAUUUGUUGAAUAAAUUGUGAGGAAACUUUGGUGUGGUUAUUCUUCAAUGUAUCUUUAUAUCAAAUUAUGAUGAUAUACUUGACAAAAAAUAUUGACAUUUAUGACACAUUAAAACAAUUACUUAAUUCUAAUGGUAAGUAAAGGUGAGUAAAGUGUAUAAUACACUCAAUUCCAUUCAAUAAUUGUCUACACACUGAACUAGUUUAUUUGUUAAAAUAACGUUAAAAAAAAAAAGCUAUAAGCUAAGCUAUACAAAUGGUUAUUGUUUUAUCAUGUACAUUUUUUGGUCUAAGUUCAAUAACGCAAAAAAGAAUCCUGAGGUAUUUGUCUAAAUAACGUUAAAAAAACUUUUCUAAGGUA